GACACUAUAGCCAAGUGGUUAAGGCGACAGAUUAGAACGGCUUUCGUGAAAAUCUGUUUCCCUCUGGGAGCGUAGGUUCGAACCCUACUGGUGUCG
rnacentral:tRNA from 1 species